UACUAUAUAGUAUUUGGAAUAAGAAUCGAUUUUCAAUUUUAUGUUAAACAUUAUUUAUAGCUUUUUAUAAAAACUGUUAGUUUUCAAUAUUGUUAAAUAUUUUUUAUUUCUAUUCAUAAUAUCUUAACAUUAUUACAUAUUAUAAAAAAAGAAUAGUUUAAAUGAUGAUCACGUGUGUUUAAGCAUAACAUAACCUUAUAGCACACCGAUGCAGGUCUCUCAGCAGAGAAAAAGGAUAACAAGAAGCUAGAAGGUCCAUAACAGGAAUAACAAGAAAGGGAGAAAGUAGAAGAUGAUAAAAGUGGAGGGAGAGGAAGUCGAUGGAGAAACAGGAUAGAGAGAAUCCGCUAACAGUGGGCGGCUUUCCUCAAGGAACUCACGGUUGAACGAAUACACGGAGAAUUACGUUGCACGCCGGCUGACCAUGACCUCACCGAACGAUCCGCAAAGUAAUACCGAGACGACUCUGACUCCCUGCCACCCGCUGUCGACGUCGUUGUCCUCGUUGUCCCUCCUAUACGGUAACACUUGCAUGUAACCGUCAACAAGCACCAGUGAGCGCCACUGGAGGAGGAACAGCUCAAGUUUUACGCCGAUCCACCUGACGCUUGGACAGGGAACCGCGUUGCUUGUUAUGCCGACUCGGCAUAAGAAUUUCGACGUACGACAUACUGAGUGAAAUAGCGGUCAUUGCCAUCCGGCCAUUAGUACCAUCGAUGGCCAUAUUGAAGAUGAAAAUUUGUGAGAAUAAAGAAGAGAAAGAAAAAAUUGAUUAACUUAAAUUCAUUCCAUUAUACUUUAAUCCUUAGUUUAAAUAUUUAUGUAAUUAUUGAGAGGAUAAUAUGAGUAAUGAUAUAUGAUUUAUGAUUUAUGAGACAGAUUAAUAAUGAUUUUUAAUAUUGAGAAGAUUUAGUGAAUGAGAGCUUUUGUACUAAGAUUUGUGGGGUUUCUUUGUAUUUGGAAAAAUAUUCUGAGAAGAUGACUUCACACUUGUAAGAGAAUAUAAUAAGAAUCUUAUAACUUAUUUUUUUAUUAAAAAAAACAGCUUAUUAUCUAUUAAUAGGAUAUUUUUUGUACGUGUAUUUUUUAAUAUACAUAUUCAUAACACAAUUAUAUUUUUUUUAAUUUCAAAUAACAUAUAAUUUAUGUAUUUUUAUGUAAUUAUUUAUAACUUUUCAAAAAUCAGAUAUUUUCAAGAUACAGUUUACAUUGAACUUUAGCCGUCAAUAUAUUGUGAUUUUGUAAAAUUUUAUUUUACAAAAAAUAAAAAAGCUAGUAUUAAUAUUAAUAUUUAUAAUAUUUUUAGAAUAAUUUUUAUGAAUAUAUUAGAAAAAAAUAUAUUAAAAAUAUUAUUCUAAAAAUUAUUAUUAGAAUAUUAUAUUAAUUUUUUUCAUUAUAUUUAAUCCUUUUCAAUCAUAGUUAAAGUAAUCUAUAAGUAAAUUAACGAUGAGAAAUGAAUUCCAAAGAUCAAUUUAGAUCAAUAAUUUCAGAUUAAAUGGCUAAAUCAGACUCGCGUUCAAGAGAUUGUAAGCAUCAAUUUGUAUGACUGAUUUCACAAGCAGUAAAAUUACACGCACGAAUUAUGCGACUA